AAAGAAGGCUGGGAAAGGGAAAGAGUCAAACUGGCCAGACAGGUCUCUAGUGCCUGGAAAGUCAGUGAGUUUGGCCAGCGCAGGAGGAAGCAUGGCCAGUGCAGGAGGAAGUAUACAUGUCUCUGGGAGUGGAGGUCAGGAGAAAGGAAGUAUAUAGGCAUCGAGCUUGUGGUGGGUACCAGCCACUGUGAUAAAAACUGUAUACUGUUAAGUUAUGAAUUCUUCACUUGUAUCCUAAUAAGAAAGUAUUAAUAUUCUUUUUUUAUAUUUAACGAAAAUGAAACUGAAGCUCAAAGAGCUUACGUAUCCCAGGUCACACAGCUAGUAACUAGUCACUGGUAUUUCAAAUCCCAAAGCUCACAGUCUUUCCACUAGAUCACACUAGCAAAAUGUGCUUAGGUAUGAGCAGAUAAAGAUAAGUGACAAGUGAUACCAGGGGCAGGAGCCAGGUGGCAAAAAUAAAUCAAGCUGGAAUGAAUAAAAACAAUGAGGCACGGGGUGGGGAGGGUAGAGACAUAGGGAGGGCUGGAAUGUCUAAGAUUCACAGCCACUAUUUGAGUCAAUUUGAACUAAGCAAGAAUUCUACCCAAGAGUCAGAAAGAUACCAAACAUGGAAGAUGGUGGGGGGUUGAAAAAGCAAGGAUGUUUUUAAAAAGGAACCCCACACAAAAUACUCCUAAACAUUUGGGUACUGUUACUACAGUCUUGUCUUUUAUUAAUUCUUCAUUCUCCUUUAUUAGGGGUUUCCAUAUGCUGAACUGAGGGGAAGAAGGAACUUUUGGCUUCCUCAUAUCAUCCUUCAUUCUUACUUGAUCAGCACUAUAAUCUGUGAUUAUGAGCUCUUCAAGGUCAAACUGCAACAAGAGGAAAGUCGUCUCCUGGUUAGUCCUGGAUUUGAUUAGCGAUCCCACUCAUGGGUGGGUAAAGCCAGAGAGCACUCCGUGUGCCCAAGCAUAGGCAUCACUUAAAAGCAAGAGGAAGAAAGCAGUCUCGAGCUUGGACCUUAGCGACAUCCGCAUCCCACCCCUACAGAGGGGCAGACCCCGUGCUAUGGUGCAGGAGACAGCAGCAACUUGCCUUCCAACUUGAAGAAGAUAUCGCAAUGUGUUCCUGAGCAUUGGAUUUCCAGAAACUUCACUAAGACGACAGUCUUCUGAAAGAUGUGUUAUAAAAGAGUUUUUGGCAUCUUGAAGCUUCUGCCAGAUUUAUUUUGGUAUCGUAUGGCCAGAGACAGUAGAACAUCACAGAUCACGAUGCAGCUUCUGGUCUUGCAAUUUCUGAUGACCCAGCUGCUUCAAGUCCAGGGGCUGCAGAGGCUGGACCACAGAUGGCGAUGUAGCAAUGUCAAGAAGACAGAAGACAAUGUGUCAUGCAUUCCACAAACCAUCAAGGAAAAAGUAAGUUGAGACCCAAAGCAGUUAGCUAAGAUCAUUCCACUACCAUUUGGUGGAGGAAGAUUGAGGCUCAGACUCUCUGAGUCUUACUCUUUCUGCUGCACCAAAGUAGAAAUGCAAAGUAGGCAAAGGAGAGAGAAAGUGGCCGUUCCUGAAGAAGGUAAGAAUAAGAUUUAGCAGAUGUAAAGAAAUGUCAGGUGAGUGUCAGAUAAAAACAAGUUAGCAAUCUGUGAGACGGAGCGGGGUUGAUCAUGACAAAAUCCAGGAUAUGAGAGUGAUAAUGAGCAGUAUUAGGAAGUGGAAGGUAAGGUUGCUGGCAGUAUACUGAGUAACAAACUGAUUUGGACAUUAAGGUUGCUAAGUACUGAGUAGGAGAUUAGAAAAAAUAUGAGAGAGUAAUGUAAGCAGUAGCAUGGUUACAAUGUCCAAGCAAACCAAUGGCAGGAAAUAAUUGAAAUGCGAAAGGUAUUGAAAUAUAGAGAAUAGGCAAGCCCUUUUGGGUUUACCAGAAUAAUAAAAGAAGGCAAGAUAGAUAUAGAUAGAUAGAUAGAUAGAUAGAUAUUGAUAUAGAGAUAUAUAGUUAUAUAGCUAUACAGUUAUUUAUACACAUAUAUAUUUCAUAAUUGUUAGAUAUAUGUAUAGUUAGAUACAGUCUUAUUUGAAGAAGCCACAUUUCCACUGAAGGAGUAAAGAAAGUCUGAAGAUGACAGAAAGUUUCAAGCAGUGAAGUAAAACUUACAUUAAAAAAACAAAUAGGGGCGCCUGGGCGGCUAGUUGGUUAAGCAUCCGACCUUGGAGGCUCGGGUCAUGAUCUUAUGGUUUCUGGAUUCAAGCUCUGCGUCUGGCUCUAUGCUGACAGCUCGGAGCCUGGAGCCUGCUUUGCAUUCUGUGUCUCCCUCUCUCUCUGCCCCUCCCCUGCUCA